rnacentral:ribozyme from 1 species
AACGUCACUUGGUCGUCUGCUGUUUUUUUUUUUUUUUUUUUUUUGUUGUUGUUGCUGUU